GGGCCCGCACAAGCGGUGGAGUAUGUGGUUUAAUUCGAUGCAACGCGAAGAACCUUACCAGGGUUUGACAUGCUUGUCGUACUCUCCCGAAAAGGAGAGGUCACUUCGGGUGGACAAUGCACAGGUGCUGCAUGGCCGUCGUCAGCUCGUGUCGUGAGAUGUUUGGUUAAGUCCAGCAACGAGCGCAACCCCUGUGAACUGUUGCCAGCGCGUAAAGGCGGGGACUCUGUUCAGACUGCCCAGAUCAACUGGGAGGAAGGUGGGGACGACGUCAGGUCAGUAUGGCCCUUACGCCUAGGGCUGCACACGUACUACAAUGCCCAGCACAAUGAGAACCGAGACCGCAAGGUGGAGGAAAUCUGCAAAACUGGGCCCAGUUCGGAUUGGAGGCUGCAACUCGCCUCCAUGAAGUCGGAAUCGCUAGUAAUGCCGUAUC
rnacentral:rRNA from 1 species